AAGGGAGACCUAAUUCAGGUAGGAGACGAAAAAAAAGUAGUCGCUACCAAGAAUCAAUCCCAAAAGGUCGGAGCGAGGCGAAAUUGGCUUUCAAACUAGGUUCUGGGUUCACACAAGACCUGAAUCAGGAACAAGGGCUAUUAGCUCAGGUGGUUAGAGCGCACCCCUGAUAAGGGUGAGGUCCCUGGUUCGAGUCCAGGAUGGCCCACCUGUACAGGUGGCAAAAAGAAAGAAAAGAAGCGAGGAAUCAGCACCUUACCUUACUGACAUAGUAAGAGAGAAUGCUGGCUCUGAGUAAAGAGUCCAGAGGAACCUUGAAAACUGCAUAGAGCUAGGUGAAAAAGCCAAAAAAGAAGACCGCAA
rnacentral:tRNA from 1 species